GACGAACGCUGGCGGCGUGCUUAACACAUGCAAGUCGAACGGAAAGGCCCCGCUGGGGGUGCUUGCGCGGGGGGCGAACGGGUAACUAGCACGUGAGUAGCCUUCCCUUUACGGUUGGAUAACGUCAGCAAAGGGGAGUACCUGCCGGAUAUCAUUGCCGCCUGCAGGGUGGUGGUAAGAAAGGUUUGGCGGGUUGGGAUGGACUCGCGGGUUGUCAGCUUGUUGGGUGGGGAGUGGCCUAGCAAGGGAUUGAUGGGUAGCCGGGCUGGGAGGGGGACCGGCCACAUUGGGACUGGGGUACGGCCCAGACUCCCACGGGGGGCAGGAGGGGGGGAUAAUGCACAAUGGGCGGGAGGCUGAUGGAGGAACGCCGCGUGCGGGAUUACCGGCUUCGGGGUGGAAACCGCUUUCAGCAGGGGCGAAGCUGUGGGUGACGGUACCUGCAGAAGAAGCACCGGCUAACUACGUG
rnacentral:rRNA from 1 species